AACGGGAAACAGAUCCAGCUUCUCAACUCUCUUCUCCAGCUCGUACUCGGCCGACGCCGCCAUUGGGUCCACAUCAUCGUUACGUCGAUCAUAGUCUUCAUUACAGCUUCAACGUGCGCCCUCCCAGAUACAGUCAUGAAGUCAGAGACUUUCCAUGGUGACAGAAAUGUCAACAAAGCAAAACACAUACACAAAAAGAACAACACGACGACAAAUGAUGUAUGUCCACUAUAGCAAGAUAACAAAUAUGAAAAUAUUUAUAUAGAAUAUCCUAACCCUAACUUGUCAUGACAAGUAUUGUCAAUAAGGCCCGACCAUUUACCAGAUUAACCGUUUGAUUAACAUCAUUUAAAACAAUGUACUGUAUGUGUAUAGUAUUAUGAAUCAAAUAAUUUGGUGGGGUAGCUUUAGAAUUUGAACACUUUUUAGAUCUUGUGUGGACACACACGUCUGUGUGUGUUCUUCGAUUAAAAACAAACACACCCAGCCACAUUCCAACUGCUUUUCUCACACUCACAGGGGUAACUUUGUUCACUAUUCAGCGCACGUAAACACAAGCGUGAGGCGACGAGCAGGAAAGCUUUACGCUUUCAGGGGAAUGGCGCAGCCGCCUAUUUUCUGCCCCAUUGUGAUUUUAGCUUGUGCUAAUCGCUCAAAGGCAAAUAACACUUUGCUUUUUUUUUUGGGCCAGAAAGGAAAAUGUGUGAUGUUUUGGAUUGGUAAAUUUGGAAGUAUAAUUUAACGCCUUUUAAUAACACUGGCAAAAGAACAAGUGCCGAGAGGCUAAAACUUAUUAAUAGAUGAACUUUGAAUGCUUCACUCAUAGAGGAAAAUAAAGUGAAUAAGCCAAAACCUGCAUCAUUGUCAUCGAAUACUUUGUCAUAUUUUCAAUUUAAAAAAAAAAAAAAAGAAUGAUUGAGCCGAGCAAGUGGGUGUUUUUUAAUUACUGCAGCAACAAUGCUAAUUAAUUUAGCCUCUCUAUGGUGGUUCCCAUUAUAUGUUAGCAUUAAGAUAGCAGAAUUCCGUUCCCUUAGAUAUUUUAUAAAUAUAAAUAAACAAUGUUUAAAUCUCUUAUGUCAGUAUUAUAAUAAACGUAUUUGAAGAACUGUGAAAGUUAGAGAAUUUGUUUCGACAAAGACCAUGCAAGAAGCUGCGAGCAAAGGAAAUGGAAACCUCCAUUCUUAUUUUUCUUUAGAUGUGAUAUACCUGCGACUCAUUUGACUUACUUAGGCAUGCUCAAUUAGCAAUACAAUUGUUAUCUGCACAAAUACUGUAUACAGUCUGAAAAAAGGAGAUGGUGAGGGAAAAAAAAAAGCUCAAAAGGACAACCACAUAAUAACAUGUCUCCCAACCUGUCAUUAUAUUAUCAUAGCAGCCAUAUUGUCUGUUCCACUUACAUAUGUCCCUGCAGCUUUCGGCCGCCUACAUUGUAACCGCAGCUUCCUCGAGAUGCAAAGAUGCAGUCAAGUGGUCACUGGUUAGAAGUUUCUACGUCUAACAAAUAAAAAUAAUACCUUCUUGACAUCAUUUAAAAGCACAUGCGUCACUUUUUUCCCUUUGAUCGUCAACCUCCUGAAAUGGGAUGAAUGAGGACAUGCAUGGCGCAGCAACUGCUAGUGAUCCAUCAAAACAUUUUGCACUCUAUAGACAUUUUCAAGGAGGAAGUAUAACGUCUCGGUUCAAAACUCACCUUAAUGGGCUCAGUGCUGAAUCGUAUCUUUCUGUUGGCUGCGAUGGGUUCCUCCUCCUCCUCAGGAAGACCCUCGAUUUCCGUGCAGCUGCUUUCUGGAUGGUACUCUUCCUCGUCUUCGUCAUCAUCAUCAUCAUCGUCCAGCUGGCUUCCCCCAGAGUCAUCCUCGCCGAGGCCGCUGUACGCGCUCACGUCCACCAGAUCCCCCUCGGAGUAAUCCUCCUUCCUCGAGCCGUCGUCGUCGUCGUUCUCCUCCUCGGCUUGUGUGACUUGAAAAGUCGGUGGCUCUUUUUCUCCAUUUUCCAGUGAAGCGUGGACAUCGGCUUGAACCAAUCUGGCCCCGGCAUCGAUAUCCCCUCGACAACAAUCCUGUUCGGCGGCGGUUAGAGGCUCCUGACCAGCUAAGGUACUAGAGUCUUCUGUCAAUUCCAACUGAGACUCCAACUCUGGUUUAGCCUCCGCUGAAAUGUCAUCAGAGUUGGAGUGCUGAUCUCCUGAAUGUCUAAAUCUCUCCUCCUCGCUGAUGUUGCACUGCGGGAGCGAAUCUGUCUCGUCAACCUCUGCCGCCUGGUUGCUGACAGUUCCUGUUGUCACCUCCUCUAAGUCCUCCUGACUUGCAGGAGGCGCUUUCAUCUGAGACAGAGAGACAAAUGAUCUAAUCAUUUCACAUUGUGCUUGACACCAUAUCAAAAGAUGUCAACACGCUAACCCAGGCUGCGGAGGAACGACAAGAGUGAAAGUAAUUGUAAAUCCUGAAGCGCAGUUGGCUUUAAAGUCAGCACUUGAAAACAAAUCUUCUUACCUGACUCCGAGCAGGCCCUGAUUUGGCUGGAAUUGUUGGCUUUGGUCCUGGGGCAGGUCUCGACCGACGGUUGGGGAGGUAGAGAUUGUUUUGGGUAUCAGCCUUCUCAAACACAGCACUGAGUUGGCUGACGGUGGGGCUGACGGCUUCAGCGGGCCCCGAAACAGCUGCAGCGGCAGGAACGGGAACGGGAGCAGAAGCGGGAAUGGGGGGGUCGUCUAAGCGAUCCAAAGCCUCAGUCGAGCCAUUGAAGCGUGCCACCACAUCCAGGCGGCUAUCCUGGAAACCAGAAGCUCGCUCCUUCUUCAGUAAAAUCCUGUUGGUAGCAGCUUGUUUCUCCUAAAGGAAACCAAAUCAUUUCAUGUUCAUCUUAUUUCAUUUGAUCCUGUUCAUGGCACACAUUGGUGCAGUUAGCUGGCGGUUUGCGCCAUUGUGGGCGUGAACACAGUCAACUUGGUUGACAGCCAAUCAAAGGGGCGUGUCUCACAUGUUAAAUAGCGCCAUUUCUGACCUGCAGCGUCCGUUGUUCAAACAUCCUCCUGGUUUCCUGGAGUUUGGACAAUCCUGAGGAGGAGCGCGCACCUUCUCCAUCCGUUUUGGUGUCAAAACGAUUGACCCUCUCCGAAACGGUGCCCCCGAGUUUGAGCAGCGCGCUGUGGUCGACGUUCUCGUUGAGGCUCGAUGCCCUUGGCAGCGACAGUUUGACCGCUUGCUCGUUUCCUGCCGAUGACAAGACUGUGAAAGCUUGUUCGGCUAAAAAAAAUAUAUGUAUUGUUGUUAUCAUUUACCAAUCACUUUGGCACCAUCUUCCUCAUCUCCUGGCGACUGCAUCUGCAUGAACAUAUUCUUGAUGCGGUGGACAUUUGAUCCAUAUCUACGACCCCUCCCGUUGGGCCGAGGUAAAGGCGCGGGCUUGGAGGCGGGGUCGUAGCCUCCAUUGAGGUGAUCCGUAGCUUUCUUUAGCGCCGCCAGACCUGCCUCGUAUGCAUUUCGAUGAGGUGAGGCGCUCCUCAUGUUGGAGCCCCCCCCACUGUUUCCGGCGGAGGCCCCGUUGUCCGCCUUGUCUGAGGCAGGUUCUGUCUUCAUCAUGUUUGAGAAUUAAAUGUCCCCCAGUGAACAGCAGGUUAAUGGGGAUGACGGUGGCAGCAUGUCUGUAGAACAUGAGCUGUGAGACAAGAGCAGAAGAUAUACUUGAAAUUAAGCUGCUAGUUGAUAGCUAUUCCAUAAAUGUGUGUUAUCAUCAUUAUAUUAUUGCAGAUUUCAUUGUUAUAUUUUCAAUGGCUUUGGUUUUUAUGAUCAGGAUUUUCUUCCUGGAUGGUCCCAUUACAGUUUUUGUACACAAUUAAAACUAACUGAGUAUUUUGAUUGUUCAUAAGAAUGCAAAUUGCUGCUCAAUGUUAUCCCUUUAAAUUUUGCCGACUAACUCAGAAAUGAUGUCAACCAAAUCGUGAACAAAUCCUACCGCUGUCAAAAGUAAUAAAUUGAUGAUGUCAUCGAAACAUCAAAGCAAAUAAAGGCUUUAUUUAAAAGUGUGUAACAUAGGAUUAGGUGAAAAACAACAUUGGGUGAAAAGAAUAGAAGAGGUAUCCUCUAAACAUUUGAAUUUUUUUAGGUUUGAUUGUACAGCUAAAAUCAGCAAGCAUUCAUACAGUGAAAAAAAAACUUCAGUAGUUGUGUUUCCAAUUGGUUGAGCUAUAAAAAAAUCCAUAUGGCAACAGACUAUCAUUCAAAAUUAAGGGUUUAAUUGAUGUAAAAACCAUGAAAGAUUAUUUCCAAUAAGACUGACAGGCAAUACCACAACAAAAGCCGAAAUGAUUAAAAUUCAGUGAUUAAAUACAGCAAAUACUUGGGUCAUAAACGACAUAAAACAUGGGAUCAUAUGUUUUCCCCACAGUAGUAAUUAUCUUUAUUUUUACCCUAACUGAGUCAUUUUCUACAUCUGGAGAACAUUCCCUUUAAAGGAGACAUUGUGAUUUUUGCCCCCAAUUUAAACGACUUCCCAGUUGUCUUGACAGGCUUUUGGGCACAUCAAAAAAAAAGUUACACUCCAUUAUUUGGAAUCCUGGAACUUAUUCUGAUUCGAGAGGGUGAUCCUGUUUCAUGAAAAUAAGCAUGAAGCCCCAAGUAGUAGGCUACUGCUUUCAUUCCCAUGACAACCAGGAGAAGAGCUCAGGAAUUUAAAGAGGCGGAGUUACUUCCACUUUCAGAUGAGCGUGCAAAACAAAACAAAAAAAAGGGUGCACCUAUGAGGACAAUAAAAAGAGCGCACUUGAUUGUCUACAUCUAGUUCUUCCGUCCAUUUUCUGUACUGCUUGUCCUUAUUAGGGUCACGGGUCAGCUGGAGCCAAGCCCAGCUGACUGUGCAAGAAGUGUGGUACAAUCUGGACGGGUUGCCAGCUAAUCGCUACACGUCAGACACUUGCGUGUGGUCCAUGCAUUGUCAAAUAUGCAUCGUAAAAUAUGCCCCAACCUCACAGAAGCUAAUGCUGAUAGCUAGCGCUAAACAUUACGCAAUCCACAGCGGCUAGCUUAGAGACAUUUUCCGAAAAAGGCACACUGAAUUCGUCCUUUAUUAUGCCAAGGAUUGUGAAAAAGUUGAUAGAAAAGCGAUACGGAUAUUUCCAGUGUCUUAACAUCUGGGGAAAUAAAUAUGCAAAAUCCGAUAUUUAAAACUUGCCACAGUCAAGAGAGUCAAGGCCAAAGUGAAGAAAUGUGCGCCAUUGUUUGCAGCAAGCUGAUAUUAGAUAAGGAAACAAAAAUCACUUUGAAAGUGAUCUGACAAAAUUCAAACUCAUGGAGGCUUACAACCUGGAGGCUAGAAAUAUUCCCACAAACACGUUGCAAUCAAAGCACAUCUUGUGAUCAUGUCUUGGCAAAACAGUAGCUUCUCAUACAGGGAUCAUGUGAACUUUACUGGGCCAAUGUGGAACAGCCGCACACACAGGAAAGAGCUGGCGUCAGCCAAGACGAGAUUUUCUGCGUCAUUCAUCAGUCCAAGAACAACCGCUUUUUACUUUGAGCUCACUUUCUGUCGACAUCAAGACAGAACCGUCCAGUAUAGUUCACGUAUUUGUCGCGCUAUUAAGAAUACAAAUAUGGACCAAUGAUUCAUCUACAUGUCAUUCUAUUACACAAUUUUGUACUGAAAGUGCCAGUCCACUUCUCCAUAAUAAUUUCAAUCUAUCAUGAGUGAAUUCCCCACACCGUUCAAAAAACAAAACUUUAAAGUUGGAUUCCUCUGCACCCCAAAAAAAUUAGAAUUGACACGAAUAUUAAAUGGAAUUAAUUUUUGGUCAUUUUGUUUGGGUUUUCAUAGUAAUGAAUUUUUAUUUAUUUUGACCGAUAAACUAACGUUUUUACUUCAGCAAUGUUUUUUUAUUUAUUAAUUUGACUAAAAGCAAAACAUGAUUAAUAAAAAUUUGAAUAAAAGGUACAUGUAUAGCAUUUUACAAUUAAUAAAGUAUAAAACACCCAAACAAUAAUAAUAAAAUCCAAAGCAUAAAGCAAACAAGGAACUAAGAUAGCUUAUCCGUUCAGUAUUGUGUUCCGCGCGCGUUGGGUAAGUACAAAAUAGUGUUGGCUCGUGAGUGAACGAUUCGAUCAAAGGAAGGACUUUCUUCAGUGAACGGGAGUGAACGAAUCACUUCCUAAAGUGAUUCGUUCUUUUUUUCAGUUCAUAUGACUUCAACC